CCUUCUCUUAGCCAGUACAACCUUCGAUUGCUUGCCAUUUUUCCUUUCAAUCUUUUCCGCCGCCGCCGCCAUCCCCACCGUCGCCGCCGCAAAGCUCUCCACUAUUUCAGGUUUUCUCUUUCUUCCAAUUGUAUUCGCGUGUUAGGUUAUUUUUGAAGAAAAUGCCCUAAAUUUUGAUUUUGUUUUUAAAUCUAAGUGAAGUUUAAAUAUAUUUACGGUUCUUAAUCAAAUCUAGUGUCUAUCGUCAUAUGUAUUUUCGAUUUCCUUCAAUAUCGAUCUAUAUGGUACUGUUAUUUUACCAACCUAAAAAACGCACAUUGAGUAUUGAUACCCCUUUUGAGUUUUGAUUUUUUUCAUGGGUGCCUGUUUGUUUUAUCGAUUGCAAAAUUAAAACUGACUGUUUUUUGGUGUGUUUUAUGGAACUAGAUGUAUAACUUCAUUUUUUUUUUAAUAUUUUGUGCGCCAGGUUUUUCCUAAGUCUGCCAUAGAAGUGGAGAUAAAAGGUUGGUCGGCAGAGGUUGUAUGGGUUUGCUUUCAAGUGUAAGAUCUCUAAUAUAUAUGGCUAUAUGGGUAAAUGAAUAUAUUCAUUUAUUUGUAUUAGAUUUAAGGGAGUUUGAGUUUUCUCCAUCGAUUGUGCAGGCGAAUUAUGGGCCAUAUCUCAAGGAGAAGGCUCGAGACAUCCUCAGAACACAUUAUCACGUGUGAAAAGAUUUGCAUUGCAUUGAUGUUGCUCCAUUAACUAGGUAUACAAGGACACGAAUUGAGAUUUACUGCUCGCCUUUGCUUCCCUUUUAAUGAAUUAUCUAUAACAAUACUUCUUUAUUUCAAAUUCUGUCAAUUAUAUGCUAUCGAGAUUUUGAUUUGGGC
rnacentral:lncRNA from 1 species